rnacentral:rRNA from 1 species
GAUGAACGCUGGCGGUAUGCUUAACACAUGCAAGUCGAACGAACCCUUCGGGGUUAGUGGCGGACGGGUGAGUAACGCGUGAGGAUCUGCCCUUAGGAGGGGAACAACAGUUGGAAACGACUGCUAAUGCCCCAUAUGCCGAGAGGUGAAACAGUUAAUUCUGCCUAGGGAUGAACUCGCGUCUGAUUAGCUAGUUGGUUGGGUAAUGGCCGACCAAGGCGACGAUCAGUAGCUGGUCUAAGAGGAUGAUCAGCCACACUGGGACUGAGACACGGCCCAGACUCCUACGGGAGGCAGCAGUGGGGAAUUUUCCGCAAUGGGCGAAAGCCUGACGGAGCAAUGCCGCGUGAGGGAGGAAGGCCUUAGGGUUGUAAACCUCUUUUCUCUGGGAAGAAG